rnacentral:rRNA from 1 species
CAGGCUUAACACAUGCAAGUCGAGGGGCAUCAGGAAGAAAGCUUGCUUUCUUUGCCGGCGACCGGCGCACGGGUGAGUAACACGUAUCCAACCUGCCCUUUACUCGGGGAUAGCCUUUCGAAAGAAAGAUUAAUACCCGAUAGUAUAAUGAUUCCGCAUGGUUUCAUUAUUAAAGGAUUCCGGUAAAGGAUGGGGAUGCGUUCCAUUAGGUUGUUGGUGAGGUAACGGCCCACCAAGCCUUCGAUGGAUAGGGGUUCUGAGAGGAAGGUCCCCCACAUUGGAACUGAGACACGGUCCAAACUCCUACGGGAGGCAGCAGUGAGGAAUAUUGGUCAAUGGGCGCUAGCCUGAACCAGCCAAGUAGCGUGAAGGAUGAAGGCUCUAUGGGUCGUAAACUUCUUUUAUAUAAGAAUAAAGUGCAGUAUGUAUACUGUUUUGUAUGUAUUAUAUGAAUAAGGAUCGGCUAACUCCGUGCCAGCAGCCGCGGUAAUACGGAGGAUCCGAGCGUUAUCCGGAUUUAUUGGGUUUAAAGGGAGCGUAGGUGGACUGGUAAGUCAGUUGUGAAAGUUUGCGGCUCAACCGUAAAAUUGCAGUUGAUACUGUCAGUCUUGAGUACAGUAGAGGUGGGCGGAAUUCGUGGUGUAGCGGUGAAAUGCUUAGAUAUCACGAAGAACUCCGAUUGCGAAGGCAGCUCACUGGACUGCAACUGACACUGAUGCUCGAAAGUGUGGGUAUCAAACAGGAUUAGAUACCCUGGUAGUCCACACAGUAAACGAUGAAUACUCGCUGUUUGCGAUAUACAGUAAGCGGCCAAGCGAAAGCAUUAAGUAUUCCACCUGGGGAGUACGCCGGCAACGGUGAAACUCAAAGGAAUUGACGGGGGCCCGCACAAGCGGAGGAACAUGUGGUUUAAUUCGAUGAUACGCGAGGAACCUUACCCGGGCUUAAAUUGCAGUGGAAUGAUGUGGAAACAUGUCAGUGAGCAAUCACCGCUGUGAAGGUGCUGCAUGGUUGUCGUCAGCUCGUGCCGUGAGGUGUCGGCUUAAGUGCCAUAACGAGCGCAACCCUUAUCUUCAGUUACUAACAGGUCAUGCUGAGGACUCUGGAGAGACUGCCGUCGUAAGAUGUGAGGAAGGUGGGGAUGACGUCAAAUCAGCACGGCCCUUACGUCCGGGGCUACACACGUGUUACAAUGGGGGGUACAGAAGGCAGCUAGCGGGUGACCGUAUGCUAAUCCCAAAAGCCUCUCUCAGUUCGGAUCGAAGUCUGCAACCCGACUUCGUGAAGCUGGAUUCGCUAGUAAUCGCGCAUCAGCCACGGCGCGGUGAAUACGUUCCCGGGCCUUGUACACACCGCCCGUCAAGCCAUGGGAGCCGGGGGUACCUGAAGUACGUAACCGCAAGGAUCGUCCUAGGGUAAAACUGGUGACUGGGGCUAAGU